AUUUUCGUUUCUAUUUGUUUUUUCCGUUUUCGAGAGUACGUUACUAAAGAGCAGCUUUUUUCCAUCUCAUGGUAGCUGGGAUGGACCUUCGUCUUCAGCUCCAGGUAAGCUCUUCCGAUUUUAAAGCCUCCCGUCGAUUUACAGUCUGUCAGAUUAGUCAAGUGCUCGGGCCCUCAACGAACCUAAAGAGAGAACUAUUGUUCCUGCGAAGGCAAAUCGUUCACUCGACCUGCCUCAUGAUCGAGAGUACUGUUCCAGCGAAAGCAAAUCGUUUGUAAGUAGCCAUUU
rnacentral:lncRNA from 1 species